rnacentral:rRNA from 1 species
UCAUGGCUCNGAUUGAACGNUGGNGGCNGGCNUAACCACAUNCAAGUCGAGCGGAUGAAGGGAGCUUCCUCUCUGAUUCAGCGGCGGACGGGUGAGUAAUGCCUAGGAAUCUGCCUGGUAGUGGGGGACAACGUUUCGAAAGGAACGCUAAUACCNCAUACGUCCUACGGGAGAAAGUGGGGGAUCUUCGGACCUCACGCUAUCAGAUGAGCCUAGGUCGGAUUAGCUAGUUGGUGGGGUAAAGGCCUACCAAGGCGACGAUCCGUAACUGGUCUGAGAGGAUGAUCAGUCACACUGGAACUGAGACACGGUCCAGACUCCUACGGGAGGCAGCAGUGGGGAAUAUUGGACAAUGGGCGAAAGCCUGAUCCAGCCAUGCCGCGUGUGUGAAGAAGGUCUUCGGAUUGUAAAGCACUUUAAGUUGGGAGGAAGGGCAGUAAGUUAAUACCUUGCUGUUUUGACGUUACCGACAGAAUAAGCACCGGCU